rnacentral:rRNA from 1 species
UGCCAGCAGCCGCGGUAAUACGGAGGGUGCGAGCGUUAAUCGGAAUUACUGGGCGUAAAGCGCGCGUAGGCGGUUAAUCCAGUCAGAUGUGAAAUCCCAGGGCUCAACCCUGGAACAGCAUUUGAAACUGUUUAACUAGAGUUUUGUAGAGGGUGGUAGAAUUUCAGGUGUAGCGGUGAAAUGCGUAGAGAUCUGAAGGAAUACCAGUGGCGAAGGCGGCCACCUGGACAAUAACUGACGCUGAGGCGCGAAGGCGUGGGUAGCAAACGGGAUUAGAUA